AGUCCGCCAUCUUUCUUACCUUUUUGAUUGUUGACUUGUAAAUUUUGUAAUUAGUUUUUGCCGACGUCCACCGUGCCGUUUUUUAAGUAAUUUUUGGUAUUUUACAAAUUGUGUUACUUUAGUGGACACGUGGAGACAUGGACGCUGACUGUUGGAAGAAUUCUUCAAUUCAGACUGGCGCAAAGAGCUAUCAGGGCGCGAUGCCAGGAAUUUCAUUGCGAGACAGAAUUCGAAAUGAGGAUAUUCGCCAACGCAAUAAAGUUACCGACAUUGCAAAAAGGAUUAACUCAAGUGGGAAUGGACCGGCUAUAUUUUUCGCAGAGAUGACGAUCAAUGGGGUCGCCUAGUAUUGCUGUGGAGACCUAGCCUGGGUGGCCGAGGUGGCGGGAAACCACGAGCAGAUGGUCGGAUGACAUCAAAAAACGGCAGGGCCCACCUGGCACUGGCACAGAACCGCCACAUAUAGAACGGAGUGGAAACCCACGGAAUGCAGACCAGGAUCAUAUACUUUAGGUAUGAGUUUGUUACUUUUGCUCAUAAUAACAUGGAGUAUGUCACAGCUGCUCCACGGGCUGCAUUGAAGGGCAACAGGAGCGAAAAUGGAAAGGAGCUCCCCCUUUCAAUUAGAGAAUCUUAGGAUAUGCUAAGGCAAACAGAAGGAGGCAAGGAACGGGACUGCAUCAAUUGCUGUUGGGAACCAAUCUUGUGGGAUGACUUCUGGACAGGGAAAAACAAUUUCAUCAUCUACCCUAAUACUGACGAAUGUUCUAAAACGUGCUGUAAGGCAGACAUUUCCAAAUGUAACGGAGGAAAGUUUCGAGACAUGUAAUGGUUUCAACACGCUGCUGAGACCCAACUCAAGAGACGUCAGUUUGUACUGUUUUGUCCAUUCUCUAUUGGGCAUGCUUGUAUGGAGAGGUAUAUAUAUUGGAGUACAGACAUGGUGUUUGGUAUGAGUAUUAUAUACAUCCUCUUGAGUCAAAGAGGACCGGUAGCCACUUUGAACUCCGUGUCCGAAAGGGUCAAAGUAUGGAGCUCCCGGUACUCAGAAAAAAAUUCUGGCCUAUUAGUUUUGAACUUUCGAGUCAAGUUUGGUGUCAUUUUUAUGUAAACUGUUCGCUUCAUUUUUAAAUUGAAGAAGAUUAAAAAUCACAGUAAUAUUAUUAAGGCAAAAGUUUGUGAGCAUACUGUGUUUGUUACUUCCUCACGCCACGCCCAAGUGCCUUAACAAAUAUUAUUUAUAAAAUUAAGUAUGGAGGAAGUAAGAUAUACCCUAAGUUAACACGUCGCUUCUUCUUGAUCGUGGGUAACACUCGGGGCGCAGUAUAAUGAUUAUUAAAAAUCUUUAUGCUGUCCCCUAUGCUGCGAUGGCGAUCGUUGCAGUACUUUCAAUAUUUUUUUUACAUCAAAUAUUAGAAUCAUCAAAGAUUACUAAUAAAAUAGGCUUUUUAAAAAUAUUUUUUAAAAAUCAUGAUUAGUAUAAAAAUAUGGAAAUAUGAGGAUUUGUUUGCAUUUCGUGGCUACUAAAAAUUCAUUAUAUUAAAUAUUGUGCUAUAUUUUGCUAUGGAACCCUAAAAAAGUAGUUACAUAAAACUGACACUAAAAUUGACUCAAAAGCUCAAACUAAUCGGCCAGAAUUUUUUUCUGAGCAGCAGGAGCUCCAUACUUUGACCCCCUCUCCCCCCUUCGGACACGGAGUUCAAAGUGGCUACCGGUCUUGUUUGACUCGGGAGGACGUGUAUAAUACCCAUACCAAACGCCAAUGCCCUACUCAAAAAUUCACCUUUUCCCAA